GAUAUGGAGUUCUUCUGAAACAAACUCCCCUCUGGCUUUCAGAAAAAUCAUCUGGAAUGUUCAGAAUGAUGAGGAAAGGGAGGGAAAAGAGCUUUGUGUGACCAUGUCUUGUGUACUGUGUGUGCUUCUGGUCGCCCCUCUCAGCAAGUAUAUCUAGAAUGAAAAGCACCAAUUUCUGUGAUGUCAGUCUGAUGCCAAGCACAAUCCCACAGAGGAAAUACCUUGGAGUGUCCGAGGGAACACUUCUGUCUGAAGGAGAGCGAGGGGAGGCGGUUUCCUGGGUGGCUGAGCCCCACAGGGCUGUGUGAGAAAGGAAACCUUUUAAAGGGAACGGAUCUCAGGGACAGAAUCCGGUGCAGACCCGGCGCGGCUGCAGCGCCGGGCGGAGCGCGGCCGGAGCUGCGGGGACACAGCGGGAGUGUCACCAAAAAGGGCUGGCACUGAGCGCUGCUGCAGCCAGCACCGAGGAGAAACAGCCCUCGGCAGAGGGGGCCGGCCGUGGCCCGGGCAGAGCCGUCCCGCACACAGCGCCUGCCGCAGUUCCCGCAGGGAGAGCUGGAGCUGGACGUGCCCGCCGCUCCCAGCGCCGCACUGAGCCCCGGGCUGCUUGAGUUCACAGGAUCACAGCACGGCUCGGCUUGGAAAGGACCUAAAAGUCACCUCAUUCCCACCCCCUGCCACGGGCAGGGACACCUUCCACUGUCCCAGGCUGCUCCCAGCCCUGUCCAGCCUGGCCUUGGGCACUGCCAGGGAUGCAGGGGCAGCCCCAGCUGCUCUGGGCACCCUGUGCCAGGGCCUCCCUCUCUCCCAGGGUUUAGUAACAUUCUGUAUAAUAACUAAAAUCGGGUUCUUUCGGAUCAAAGGUGACAUUAAGAUAAAGAAUUAUUCAUUAGAGAAGGAGUGUCCUCCCCAUUACUGCACAAACCCAGCUGUAAUUAAGCAUCUGAACGGGUGUUUAUAAACAGAUGUUCUCAUCUAAAUGUUUUAGAAAUAGACAGCUUUGUUAUUCCAGUUUCCCCAAACUACAGAAGGAGCUACAGCUCUCCUCCAGGCUGAUGUCCUCCCACAUGUACCCUAAUAAUUGAGUUCCCCAAAUUGCAGGAGUGAGAGGUGUCCCCAAAUGCAGGACAGUUUCUGCAGCAGAGCAUUCACAGAGCAAUAGUGUGAAUUUCCCAGGGGUAGUCCCAGCAGCACUUUAGGAUUUCAUGCUUUGAGAGAUGUCAUUGCCUUUAUUGAACAACCAGGACCUCUGCAACAGCCCUGCGCUGGUGACAGAGGUUUCACAGUCUCUGUGAACACUCUGACUUCUGCUAUUCCAGUUCCCUUGCAUGGGAAGAAGCAUUUCCUGAGAGCUGUAAAUCCAUUGCAUCAUCCA